CCUGGCUCACGAUGAACGCUAGCUACAGGCUUAACACAUGCAAGUCGAGGGGCAGCAUGGUCUUAGCUUGCUAAGGCCGAUGGCGACCGGCGCACGGGUGAGUAACACGUAUCCAACCUGCCGUCUACUCUUGGACAGCCUUCUGAAAGGAAGAUUAAUACAAGAUGGCAUCAUGAGUCCGCAUGUUCACAUGAUUAAAGGUAUUCCGGUAGACGAUGGGGAUGCGUUCCAUUAGAUAGUAGGCGGGGUAACGGCCCACCUAGUCUUCGAUGGAUAGGGGUUCUGAGAGGAAGGUCCCCCACAUUGGAACUGAGACACGGUCCAAACUCCUACGGGAGGCAGCAGUGAGGAAUAUUGGUCAAUGGGCGAGAGCCUGAACCAGCCAAGUAGCGUGAAGGAUGACUGCCCUAUGGGUUGUAAACUUCUUUUAUAAAGGAAUAAAGUCGGGUAUGGAUACCCGUUUGCAUGUACUUUAUGAAUAAGGAUCGGCUAACUCCGUGCCAGCAGCCGCGGUAAUACGGAGGAUCCGAGCGUUAUCCGGAUUUAUUGGGUUUAAAGGGAGCGUAGAUGGAUGUUUAAGUCAGUUGUGAAAGUUUGCGGCUCAACCGUAAAAUUGCAGUUGAUACUGGAUAUCUUGAGUGCAGUUGAGGCAGGCGGAAUUCGUGGUGUAGCGGUGAAAUGCUUAGAUAUCACGAAGAACUCCGAUUGCGAAGGCAGCCUGCUAAGCUGCAACUGACAUUGAGGCUCGAAAGUGUGGGUAUCAAACAGGAUUAGAUACCCUGGUAGUCCACACGGUAAACGAUGAAUACUCGCUGUUUGCGAUAUACUGCAAGCGGCCAAGCGAAAGCGUUAAGUAUUCCACCUGGGGAGUACGCCGGCAACGGUGAAACUCAAAGGAAUUGACGGGGGCCCGCACAAGCGGAGGAACAUGUGGUUUAAUUCGAUGAUACGCGAGGAACCUUACCCGGGCUUAAAUUGCAGAUGAAUUACGGUGAAAGCCGUAAGCCGCAAGGCAUCUGUGAAGGUGCUGCAUGGUUGUCGUCAGCUCGUGCCGUGAGGUGUCGGCUUAAGUGCCAUAACGAGCGCAACCCUUGUUGUCAGUUACUAACAGGUUCCGCUGAGGACUCUGACAAGACUGCCAUCGUAAGAUGUGAGGAAGGUGGGGAUGACGUCAAAUCAGCACGGCCCUUACGUCCGGGGCUACACACGUGUUACAAUGGGGGGUACAGAGGGCCGCUACCACGCGAGUGGAUGCCAAUCCCCAAAACCUCUCUCAGUUCGGACUGGAGUCUGCAACCCGACUCCACGAAGCUGGAUUCGCUAGUAAUCGCGCAUCAGCCACGGCGCGGUGAAUACGUUCCCGGGCCUUGCACACAC
rnacentral:rRNA from 1 species